ACAGAUGUGGGUGAUUACAACGUAAAACUACGUGCAAUUACUCGUUUCUUAGAAGAUGGAAACAAAGUGAAAAUCACGUUACGUUUCCGUGGUCGGGAAAUGGCACACCAAGAACUUGGUCUUUUGCAAUUGCAAAAGAUUGAAGCCGAUGUGGUUGACCUAGGUGUUGUUGAACAAGCACCAAAAAUGGAAGGUCGCCAAAUGGGUAUGCUUCUUGGCCCUAAAAAGAAAAAUUAACAGGUCAGUAAUGACUUGAAAUUAAAAGGGCUACCUCAUUGGAGGUAGCCCCUUUUUUAACUUAAACAUCUUGUUUCGACUUUUGAUGAUUGAUUUGCGAA
rnacentral:misc_RNA from 1 species